rnacentral:lncRNA from 1 species
AAUAGCCUAGCACCGUUUAUUAAAUAAAGGCGGGUGUGAACAGUAUUUGUUAAUUCCGGUUCCUGUUGUUAGUCAUGACUGAAAAAUCGUCAACACAAACAUUGUGGUGUUGCAGAGAAUUUAGUUUGGGUUAAGGAAGCGGCCAGCGAGGUCAGAGGUCAUUGGGACGACGUGAAACUUACCCGACACCACAUACAUGUAUGGAUGCACGUACAUGCAAACACACACAUAUUGACGAAAACGCACUCAAACAUACACACACUGCAUAGAAACAUACAUUGUAACACGAAUAUACACUCGUAUAGACUCGACCCUGGUACGUCGUCCGACCCAGGGUUAAAAAAAAAACCCCAACAUUCUCGUAUAUAUAUAGACACACACACACACAC